GACGAACGCUGGCGGCGUGCUUAACACAUGCAAGUCGAACGGAAAGGCCCUGCUUUUGUGGGGUGCUCGAGUGGCGAACGGGUGAGUAACACGUGAGUAACCUGCCCUUGACUUUGGGAUCACUUCAGGAAACUGGGGCUACUACCGGAUAGGAGCUCCUGCUGCAUGGUGGGGGUUGGAACGUUUCGGCGGUUGGGGAUGGACUCGCGGCUUAUCAGCUUGUUGGUGGGGUAGUGGCUUACCAAGGCUUUGACGGGUAGCCGGCCUGAGAGGGUGACCGGCCACAUUGGGACUGAGAUACGGCCCAGACUCCUACGGGAGGCAGCAGUGGGGAAUAUUGCACAAUGGGCGGAAGCCUGAUGCAGCAAAGCCGCGUGCGGGAUGACGGCCUUCGGGUUGUAAACCGCUUUCGCCUGUGACGAAGCGUGAGUGAGGGUAAUGGGUAAAGAAGCACCGGCUAACUACGUG
rnacentral:rRNA from 1 species